UACGGAGGGUGCAAGCGUUAAUCGGAAUUACUGGGCGUAAAGCGUGCGUAGGCGGCCUUUUAAGUCAGAUGUGAAAGCCCCGGGCUUAACCUGGGAACUGCAUUUGAUACUGGGAGGCUAGAGUUUAAUAGAGGGGAGUGGAAUUUCAGGUGUAGCGGUGAAAUGCGUAGAGAUCUGAAGGAACACCAGUGGCGAAGGCGACUCCCUGGAUUAAAACUGACGCUGAGGUACGAAAGCGUGGGUAGCAAAC
rnacentral:rRNA from 1 species